rnacentral:rRNA from 1 species
CAGCCGCCGCGGGAAUACGAAGGGUGCAAGCGUUACUCGGAAUUACUGGGCGUAAAGCGUGUGUAGGUGGUUGUUUAAGUCUGUCGUGAAAGCCCUGGGCUCAACCUGGGAACUGCAUUUGUGACUGGCAAGCUAGAGUAUGGCAGAGGGGGGUGGAAUUCCGCGUGUAGCAGUGAAAUGCGUAGAUAUGCGGAGGAACACCGAUGGCGAAGGCAGCCCCCUGGGCCAAUACUGACGCUCAUGCGCGAAAGCGUGGGGAGCAAACAGGAUUAGAUACCCCGGUAGUCCCUGUCUCUUAUAC